ACCACUUGACCCAGAAUGUUGAAACUUCAUAGAAUGCUUGGGCAUGAAGAGUAGAUGACCCCUAUUGAUUUUGGGGUCACUCCGUCAAAGGUCAAGGUCACAGGGGCCUGAACAUUGAAAACCAUUUCCAAUCAAUAACUAGAGAACCACUUGACCCAGAAUGUUGAAACUUCAUAGGAUGAUUGGUCAUAAAGAGUAAUUGACCCCUAUUGAUUUUGGGGUCACUCCAUCAAAGGUCAAGGUCACAGGGGCCUGAACAUGGAAAACCAUUUCUGAUCAAUAACUAGAGAACCACUUGACCCAGAAUGUUGAAACUUCAUAGAAUGAUUGUACAUGCAAAGUAGAUGACCCCUAUCGAUUUUGGGGUCACUCCAUUAAAGGUCAAGGUCACAGGGGCCUGAACAUUGAAAACCAUUUCCGGUCAAUAACUUGAGAACCAUUUGACCCAGAGUGUUGAAACUUAAUAGGAUGAUUGGUCAUGCAGAGUAGAUGACCCCUAACGAUUUUGGGGUCACUCUGUGAAAGGUCAAGGUCACAGGGGCCCGAACAUUGAAAACCAUUUCCGGUCAGUAACUUGAGAACCACUUGACCCAGAAUGAUGAAAUUUCAUAGGAUGAUUGGUCAUGCAGAGUAGAUGACCCCUAACGAUUUUAGGGUCACUCUGUUAAAGGUCAAGGCCACAGGGGCCUGAACAUGUAAAACCAUUUCCAAUCAAUAACUUGAGAACCUCUCGACCCAAAAUGUUGAAACUUCAUAGGAUGAUUGUUCAUGCAGAGUAAAUGACCCCUAUUGUUUUUGGGGGCACUCCGUUAAAGGUCAAAGUCACAGGGGCCUGAACAUUGAUAACCAGUUUCGAUCAAUAACUUGAGAACCACUUGACCCAGAAUGUUGAAACUUCAUAGGAUGAUUGAACAUGCAGGGUAGAUGACCCCUAUUGAUUUUGGGGUCAGUCUACUAAAGGUCAAGGUCACAGUGGCCUGUUCAUGUAAAAUCAUUUUUUGGAAAUAACUUGAGAACCACUUGACCUACAAUGUUGAAAUUUAAUAGGAUGAUUGGACAUGCAGAGUAGAUGACCCCUAUUUAUUUUGAGGUCACUUGAUCAAAGGUCAAGGUCACAGGAGCCUGAACAGUGACUUGAGAACCAUUAGGCCAAGAGUGUUGAAAUUUAGCGGGAUGACUGGACAUGCCUAGUAGAUGAUCCCUAUUGCAGCCAACCAUCAGUGUCUCUUUGACUUUCGCUCCUGACCCCUAUUGACUUCUUGCCUAUAGGACUUUGCAUUGGGGGAGACAUGCGCUUUUUUACAAAAGCAUUUUCUAGUUUCAAUUUUUUUUUCUUUGGUGGGGAAGAGGUGAACUUACUUGCUAAAUGAUAUUCCUGUCAUGAUGAAGGUGCAAAUUCUGAUCGAUUAUGAAAGGUAAAGCCUUCUAUUUUUAUAACAUUAAAGGCGUUUAUUAGCAUAUUGGAUUAAAUUUUAGAUAUUCUUUUUGAUGUGAAUCUGAUGUUGAGCUGCACCAGAAAUAAAUAAAAAAACUUUUAACUGCUCAGUUGAAAUCCAUGAUUUUACAUCCCCACAAAGUGGCCAUUUUAUACUAGGAUACUUUUAUAAAAGUAUGUCAGAAAGUCCAUUUGAAGAGGUGACAGUUUAGUUUUAAUCUAAAACCUGUAAACAAUCUAUAGAAUUUUCAUUAUACAUGUAGUAUGUGACUCGCUUCUGUUGUUUGGUAGUACAAAUGUAGUUUAAUUCUGAGAUUAUUACAUAUCUAAGGUCGUACCAAAACCAUAUUCACUAUAUACUGUAAAAGCGCAUAUUUUCGCUGGGUCAAAAUUUCUCAAAUUUGAAAUUUUGAAUAUGUUCGCGGGGUUCAAUAUUCGCGAAAUUGUAAAAAUUGGUAUCGUACUUGAAUUUGAAUUAUACUUAUGGUGAAUAUUUACGUGAGGAUUAAUUUUCGCAAGAUGUAGGUUGAUCCUCGCGAAUAUAGCGAAAAUUAAACCGUCGCGAAAAUUUCUGCUUUUACAGUAGAUUUAUUGUCAGGAGAAAUUUUUGGAAAGUGAUGUAAUAUUAUUGUGUUGCGCAAUGGAAAGUCUGCUUUUGAUAUUAUAUGUGGCGAGUUGUUAAUCUUUGACAGUGUGCUAACUUGAAUAAUUUUGUUCGUUAUUGUUACGCAGAAGUAGUUUUUCAUCGAAUAGAGAAAUAUCACUAUGCAUAAUUGUAAAUUAGCAGUCCAUAAAACUUAAAAGACACAUGCAUUGGAGUGAUUUUGUACAAAUGGGAAUACUAGUUUUGCAUUACUUUCUGCCACCUUGAUGCUGAAUAUAUGAUAGAAAAGAUUUGUGCAUGUAGGUACAACAGUAUUGCCACACAGGAUGGGGUGUAAACAAAUGAGAUAACACUUCAAAAUUUUUAUCAUUCUCUAAGGUAAGAAUUUUGCCUCUCAUUAAUUUCGCCUUUACUAUAUUUGGCUUUUUUUUUCUUAAAUUCCUUUUUUCAAUACAGAAUUGGGCAUCAUGGUGAUGAAAUUGGUAGAUUUUCUUUCUUUUAAGAAAACUAUUUCCGAGAAGUAGGAGACACCAGACAUGAACAUCUCGCAAAAGUGAUUUUGAUUGGUUCUUGUCAGAAAAUACAUAAAUCUGGUGUUUUUUUUCAUACUUAGGAUCUUGCAUUUUGUAAAAAUCAUUUUAUGCCUCAAAUUGUACAGUACUGUUUUUGCAUUGUGUACAAUGUUCCUUUGAUAUCGCAGAUGAAUGAUAGAAUACUUAGUGAUGAUGCUACUUAAUUAUUGAAGAUUUGUGUUUUUUUUUAAGAAGACUAUGAGCUUUAACCUUUACCAUGCUAAAUUUCUAAAAUGAACUAGUCCAUCAUUCAAUUUUGGCAGCACCACUUAUUAUUCAAAGGGAUGCUCACUUAGAAUUUACUGACUGAAUAGCACAGUGCAGACACGGAUGUGCAGGCUGAUCUUGGUCUGCACAGGUGGCAAAGACAAAAUCACUUGCCGCCAGCAGGCUAAAGGUUAAGUUAUUUGUAUUAUCUGAUAAUUUUCAGUUUUGUUAUAAAAGUAAUAAAGAAAUGUUACAGUUUUUAUUUACGUCGAUUUAUAAGCAUUGAGUUAAAAUUGGCGUUUAAAUUUGCUUAAUCAAAUUCUUAAGUUGAACUUUUUUAUUUAGUAUUAAUAUUAUUAUUUAUAAAAUUGUAGGCAAGUGAAGGCACACAGUCCUGGUUUCAUUUGUGAAUUUAUCUUGUUUGUAAAUUAAAAGGCUUUUUCGUGUAUUUAUUGUAUACUUGUUUAAAAUUGUAAACACUGUUAUCUUUUAUGAUUCAAUAUAUAUAUAUAUAUAUAUAAAUAUAGAAGACAUUACAAAA